rnacentral:rRNA from 1 species
UUUGGUGGUCAUAGCGAGAGCAAAACACCCGGAUCCAUUCCGAACCCGGCCGUUAAGUGCCUUAGCGCCGAUGGUACUGCGUCUCAAGGCGUGGGAGAGUAGGUCGCCGCCAAAC